rnacentral:tRNA from 1 species
GCACUGUUGGUUCAGUGUUAGAGCUCUUGCCUUCCGUACAGGAGACCCAGGUUUGAUUCCUGGGCAGUACA